UCAUGCCCCUUAUGAUUUGGGCUACACACGUGCUACAAUGGACAAUACAAAGGGCAGGCGAAACCGCGAGUUNAUGCAAAUCCCAUAAAGUUGUUCUAAGUUCGGAUUGUAAGUNUGCAACUCGACUAUAUGAAGCUGGAAUCGCUAGUAAUCGUAGAUCAGCAUGCUNCGGUGAAUACCGUUCCCGGGUCUUGUACACACAGCCCGUCACACCAUGAGAGUUUGUAACACCCGAAGCCGGUGGUGUAACCAUUUGGAGCUAGCCGUCGAAGGUGGGACAAAUGAUUGGGGUGAAGUCCGUAACAAGGUAGCCCGUAUCGGAA
rnacentral:rRNA from 1 species